rnacentral:rRNA from 1 species
GAUCCUGGCUCAGGAUGAACGCUAGCUACAGGCUUAACACAUGCAAGUCGAGGGGCAUCAGUUUGGUUUGCUUGCAAACCAAAGCUGGCGACCGGCGCACGGGUGAGUAACACGUAUCCAACCUGCCUCAUACUCGGGGAUAGCCUUUCGAAAGAAAGAUUAAUAUCCGAUAGCAUAUAUUUCCCGCAUGGGUUUUUAUUAAUUAAAAGUAAAUUACGGUAUGAGAGUGGGGAGUGCGUUCCUAUUAGUUUGGUUGGGGGGG